rnacentral:rRNA from 1 species
UGUAUGAAGAAGGCCUUCGGGUUGUAAAGUACUUUCAGUCGGGAGGAAGGUGUCAAGGUUAAUAACCUUGGCAAUUGACGUUACCGACAGAAGAAGCACCGGCUAACUCCGUGCCAGCAGCCGCGGUAAUACGGAGGGUGCAAGCGUUAAUCGGAAUUACUGGGCGUAAAGCGCACGCAGGCGGUUGAUUGAGUCAGAUGUGAAAUCCCCGGGCUUAACCCGGGAAUUGCAUCUGAUACUGGUCAGCUAGAGUCUUGUAGAGGGGGGUAGAAUUCCAUGU